AAAAAAAGCAAAACUGUAUGUGAAGAUCAGUUUGGCCCUGACAGUGCACAGUUUGCUGUGCAGCAUCUUAAGUAAAAAGGGCAUUGCCGCACUGGAAUGUGCACUUCAUUUUUCUUAACUAAAUAUACACUUUGCGUAAGAGGGAUUCUUAUGGCCACUUUUGGGCUGCAGUGAUACAUAAAGCAGAGAUGCACACAGUUACCCAGAAAGAGAAGAAUUGCUGAGACAGAGACAGAACCUGUG
rnacentral:misc_RNA from 1 species